GCGGGGAAGUCCUCUAAAUUAAGGUUGUGGAUGUUCAGAAAAAGCUUUCCUCACUCUCACAGAGACUCCAAGGUGAAAGAGCUUUCUUUCCUGAAUCUUGGCAAUGGUGUGCCUUGGAUGCAACAUCUAGAACUUUGGCAGCCAUCUUGUGACUGAGAGCAGUGAGCCUACAAGAGUGGACUGAUGGGUGGAUUCAGUUGGUAUAGCAUGCAACUCUUGAUCUCAGGGUCUUGAGUUCGAGCCUCAUGUUGGGUGUAGAGCUCACUUCAAACCAACCAACCAACCAACCAACCAACCAACAAACAAACAGACUGAUAGGAAGAACCAAGGUCCUCCAUAACAUCUCUGAGUCACCAAACCAACCCAGCUUGGUUGGGGCCAUCUGCCUUUGGCCUUCCCCUUGUCUGUAAGCCAGGGCGGAGUCUGAGCUGGAGGCUCAAGGCAGAGAAGCAGACAACAUGGAGCAUUCUGGAUGUGCCUCUGGAGAGGGCCGUUUUGCCACCUCCACCCCAGUGCCGCCAUGGGGACAGGCAGCCGUGGGACCAGGGCCAGAGGGAGGCUCAAUCUCACACAGAUCUGAGAGGCAGGGGGUCCACAGCUCUGAACCCACCCAGGAGGGCCAGGGCCCUGAGCUGCAGCUCCGAUGGAAGAAGAGGAGAAGAGGGGUGUGGCUGCUUCCGAGUCCAGUCAGCUCUGGGGAGUCUUCUGUUUGUCUGUGGUUCUCCUGCUGUCCUCCGGCUCCCCGGCUGCCCGUGUUCCAUCUGGCACCCAGAACCGGAGCUUACCCCCUGGGGCCAUCCCAGCACUCUGUCCUCUCUCUGCCACAUUCCACAGGUGGGCCUUACUUUCGGGGAGGCCUUCCUGGGCCGGGUGUGACCCAGAUUAGACUCCUUGAAACCUAUGCGCUGUGCAUGGCACUGUGGUUGGGAAGGGUAGUCCUAGCUUCUAGAGAUGAAACAAUAUGAGGUCUGUGAUGUGGAUGAGAAUAAUCUGCAGGUGGGCACUGGGGAGAGCUGGUGAAGUGACAGAAAAUGAGAUUUGCUGUGAGCCCUGGGUGAUGGUCCAUGCGGGUUUACUGUGCAUAUCUCUCAGCUUUUGUAUAUGUUUGGAAUUUUCCGUAAAAUAUCUCUAAGCCAUGCUUGACCCUCAGAGCUGGGCAGGGCAUGGGGUGAGUGCCAAGUCUGUGGAGGGAUGGAAUGAAGGGACCUCCUACUUCUCUUUCAGAGUGUUAUUUGAUUUCAUUUCGACUGCAGGCCUGGGUGUGGAAUGAGAGUUUUUAAUGCCGCGUCCUGUUGAUGUGGAAGAUUAGGACUCCUGUCCAGUGGGUGUGUUUGGGGGGCAGUGCGGGUGGAAUGGGAGAGGAGGGAGGGUGGAGGAGGGGUCUGUCAGGCCAUGAUGAUGGGGCUGGAGUCCACCCCUUGGAGCUGCCCUAGAGGCGGGAGGGUCUGGAGGAAUGGAGGAGGACAUGUUGGCCUUCGGGGUUACGAGGAUGGGACCUAGAAGCGCCCCCCGGGCAGAGAGAGUGAGCAGAUGGUGACUCAGGAUCAGGAUCACAGAUGACUCCUGUGAUUUAAACUUGCCUACAGUAACCAAGAAACAGGCAGCCCCGGUCUCAGUAUCUCAGUACUUGAUGUCCCAUCCCCUAGGGUCCCCUGCAUUUACGCUUCAUGUAGAACGGGUGCAGAUUUGAUUGGAGGGUCUGUCUGUCUUCCUCUCUCUUUUUAAAAAUGUUAUUUAUUUAUUUAUUUGAGAGAGAGAGAGAGCACGAGAGCAUAUGAACAGGGGAGAGGGGCAGAGGGAGAGAGAGAAGCAGACUCCUUGCUCAGCAGGGAGCUGGACGUUGGAUUUCAUCCCUUCGAUCCCAGGACCCUGAGAUCAUGACCUGAGCUGAAGGUGGAUACUUAACCAACUGGGCCUCCCAGGUCCCCAUGGGCUUAUCCCUUUGAUGGGGAAGUAGGGCAUUACUUAAGAACAGCACAGGGCAGGGGUGGGGUGUGCCUGGGUGGCUCAGUGGGUUAAGUCUCUGCCUUUGGCUCAGGUCAUGAUCCCAGGGUCCUGGGAUGGAGCCCCCCAUCAGGUUCUCUGCUCAGCAGGGAGGCUGCUUCCCUUCCUCUCUCUCUGCCUGCCUCUCUGUCUACUUGUGAUCUCUCUCUGUCAAAUAAAUAAAUAAAUAAUCUUAAAAAAAAGAGAGAAAAGAACAGCAGUGUGUGUGUGUGAGGGGGGUGCUUGGGUGGCGCAGUUGGGUAAGCAUCUGACUCUUAGUUUCCACCCAGGUCAUGAUCUCAGGGUCCUGGGAUUGAGCCCUGCGUUGUACUCUGUGCUCAGCCUGGAGUCUGCUUGAGAUCCUCUCCUUUUCCCUCUGCCCCUCUUUCUCUUGCUGUCUCUCUCUCUAAAAUAAAUAAAAUCUUAAAAAAAAAAAAAAAAAAGAACAGCACUGGGGACUUUUUCAGUUAUCUAUGUCUCUGUAACCAAUCUCCUCCAAACUUAGUGGCUUAAAACAGCAAGCAUCUUCUUGCUUCAGUCUCAGUGGGGCAGUUCUUGGGCUGGUCUCCCAUAUGGCUGUAGUUGGGUGAUGCUAGGGCUGAUGCCACCCGGAGUCUCUGUGGGCCUGAGGACAGCUGGCCUCUCCUUGUCACCUCAAGGCAUCUGCUUCCCAUAUGGCCUCUUCAUGACGUCUCCACGGGGCCUCUCUGGCAGAGGAAUGGGCUUUCUACAUGGAGGUCCAGGUCUCCCCAAAGUGCCACUGCAGAAGCCUUUUCAGGGCUUAGCAAGGGACUGGCCCAGCUUCGUUUCUACCACCUUCUGAUGCUUAUGGAGUCUGGGGCCAACUCAGGCUCCAGCGAAGGGAAAUGAACUCCAGCUCCGGGCAAGGAAAUGACAAAGAAUGGCGGCCAUCUUUAGUCCACCACAGGGAACCUAUUUGGAGUCUGCUUGGAAGGACAGAGCUGCAGUCAUAUUAUGUAGGGCCACCUUGUAAAGGGGGCAGUCCCAGCUUUCCUGUCCCUUGCUCCUUCCCCAUUUUGUCUCUGACUUGGGCAGGCAUGGGGAUGAUGCUUCUCUAGACCUCACAUCAUCAUCUGUCAAAGGGUGUCACAAUGAUCUGUCUCUGGGGCCAGUCCUGGGCCAACCAUUUCACUGUGUACUGGUCUUGAAAGUCAUUCACCCAGCCUGACUCUGAAGCCUGAUCUGUCCCUCCAUUCUGGGGGCCUCCUCCACAAGGUCAGGCUUUGGCCACAUCCUGGCCUAUCCUAGCCUGUUUGGGCUGCUAUAACAAAAAUGCCAUUGACUGGGAGCUUGGAUGAAAAUCAUGUACUUCCCUUAGUUCUGGAGGCUGGCAAGUCCAAGCUCAAGGCCAGCAGAGCCUGUGUCUGGCAAGUUCCUGCCUUCCAGUUCACUGGUGUCUGUCAUCUUGCUGUGUCCUCACAUGGCAGGAGUAAAGGAG
rnacentral:lncRNA from 1 species